UUUUGGUUCUUUUUAGAAUUUAUUCUGAAGAGAUUAAAAGGGAAUCUGGUGAAAUAAUUAUAUAUAUUAAUUCCAGAACUGUUCCCGCAACUGUAAGCUAUAAAGCUUCAUGUUAUACUUCAAGUCACUGAAGAAAUAAUUAGAUAAGCAAGUAAAAUUGCUAGCUAAUACUGCUUUGGGAAGACCAACAUGAAGACGCAAGUCAGGAGACCUGCCAUUUUCAAC
rnacentral:ncRNA from 1 species